UACGUAGGGUGCGAGCGUUGUCCGGAAUUAUUGGGCGUAAAGAGCUCGUAGGCGGUUUGUCGCGUCUGCCGUGAAAGUCCGGGGCUCAACUCCGGAUCUGCGGUGGGUACGGGCAGACUAGAGUGAUGUAGGGGAGACUGGAAUUCCUGGUGUAGCGGUGAAAUGCGCAGAUAUCAGGAGGAACACCGGUGGCGAAGGCGGGUCUCUGGGCCUUACCUGACGCUGAGGAGCGAAAGCGUGGGGAGCGAACAGG
rnacentral:rRNA from 1 species